GACAGAUUCUCCAACUUAGUGAAGAGGGACAUAAAAAAACUGAGGUAGAAAAAGUUCAAUAGAAGUAGAUACUUCCAACAAACACCCAACUUCACUAAGAAAUAGUGGCUAAUCCUGAAUAUUCUUAAACAGGAUGAGUCGAUCAUUAUCAAACCCGCUGACAAAGGCGGGGCAUUGGUAAAUAUAGAUCGAGCCUGUUACAUAAAGGAAAUCAGAUCUCAACUUACCAACACCGAUAGCAACCAGUUGAUAGACAGAGACCCCACUCAAAAAUUGCAAAUAAUCUUACAG